GCUUUUAUGAGCUGUAACACUCACCGCGAAGGUCCGCAGCUUCACUCCUGAAGCCAGCGAGACCACGAGCCUACUGGGAGGAACGAACAACUCCCGACGCGCCGCCUUAAGAGCUGUAACACUCACCGCGAAGGUCUGCAGCUUCACUCCUGAGCCAGCGAGACCACGAACCCACCAGAAGGAAAAAACUCCGAACACAUCUGAACAUCAGAAGCAACAAACUCCGGACACGCCGCCUUUAAGAACUGUAACACUCACUGCGAGGGUCCGCGGCUUCAUUCUUGAAGUGAGUGAGACCAAGAACCCACCAGUUCUGGACACAAUUUCAAGUCCUCAGGUGCCAUCAAUAUUCUGAAAAUGGCAGUGAUUUUUAUUCAACCUGUAUAAGGCACUUUCACCAUGUACCUGGAAGCAACAUCUACAUCUUUUUCAGCAAUCUAGAUGCUGGGGACACAAGGUCCACCUUCCAGGAAUAUGGCCAUGACACCAGAAAUCACAAACAUGAUGAGAAUGGAAUGACUGGGGAAGAAGUGCCAGAUGCUUCACUUGUAAAUGAAGACCCAGCCUCUGGGGAUGCAGAUACCACCUCCCUGAAGAAGCUGAAUAUCUGCAGAUAAGUGGAGUUCACCAAUGAUGAGGAGCGGGAUGGAGAAAGGAGGUAGGGAGAGUCAUCCAAGGAACAUGAGCAACAUGUUAAAAGAAUUGAACCAGAGUCCGGUGAAUAUCAGCACUGGGACCAGUUAGCAGAGGAAAAGGAAAGAAUAAAAGCGAAAAGAAUGAAGAGUCAUAUGAUUACCAACUUUUCCUUUUUCAUAUAAAUUGAGUGUAUAUGGGUCUGGAACAACCUGAAUUUCCAUCAAGUCCUGGCUAACCUCAUUAUGUCCUAUGAAUAUUUUUGACUAAUCCCACUUUACAUUAAUCUGUAUUGUGAAUGUGGAUAUUGAAUUAUAUUUCUUUGUAAUCCCAUUAUCCAAAAUCCAGUUCAGAGACUAUUAGUUACCAAUGUUCACUGUGAAGGAAAAAAAAAAAAAAAAAGCUCAGAGGAUAAACAUGUGAUAUGGUUUGGCUGUGUCCCCACCCAAAUAUCAUCUUGAAUUGUAGCUCCCAUAAUUCCCACGUGUUGUGGGAGGGACCCGGUGGGAGAUAAUUGUAUCAUGGGGGUGGUUCCCCCAUACUAUUCUCAUAGUAGUGAAUAAGUCUCACAAAAUCUGAUGGUUUUAUGAGGGAAAACCCCUUUCACCUGGUUCUCAUUCUCUUCUCUGGUCUGUCGUCAUGUAAGACAUGCCUUUCACCUUCUCCACCAUGACUGUGAGGCCUCCCCAGCCACGUGGAACUGUGAGCCCAUUAAACCUCUUUCACUUAUAAAU
rnacentral:lncRNA from 1 species